rnacentral:lncRNA from 1 species
GAGGCCCGGAGAGCGCGCCGGGAGAGGGGUUGCAGCCCGUGCGAGUUUGGCUCCAGUGGCCAAAGCAGGGAAGGCGGCCUCGGGGACCUUCUGGGAGCAGAGUCCAGCCAAGGGUUUCCCUCUCUUUCCGCUUCAAGCCCAAGACAGCAGAGCAGUUUGGAACCCGAAGGACUAUAUGGUCCUUUCCCCCUCCCCCACCACUUUUUUCCCCCCUAGAAGAACUUCAAGAUUACAAAUAUCCGUCUCAUUUGAUGCUGAAUUACUCGUGGACAGAUAAGAAAAGUGCUUUUGAUAUCAACAACCUGAGGCAAGUGAAGUGGAAGUUUCUGGAUAUGUCAGGUGAUGCAGAUUCGACUCACAUGGUCUUUUGCUGAUACAGACUCAUUUGCCAUCUGAGGCAAGACCCCUGGGAGGACACAUGAUGCUUGGAGAGAGUAUAAAUAGGACUCAACGUGUAGUGAUGGAGUGCUUGCAUAGCUAGCUUUGCAAUGCUUUCGUGGCCUCAGUCUUCCUCUUCACUUCAUGGAGAUUGGCAUGUCAGAUAACUUCUCCUGUUGUCCCAUCUGGACCUGGUUACUCCUGCUGACUCCUGACAAUUUGGUGGAGGCCUGGCAGUUUCUGCUGGACCGUGCCACUGCUACUGAUUCAUGUUUGGUAUCCUGACACUACUGAACUGGACUGCUGGUAUCCUACAACGGAGAUUGGAACUGCCUCAAAGAACUACUUCUAAACAGGUGCAGGGAAAGGAGGAGAUGAACUAGGAUCAGAGGCACAUGAGACAACACCUUACAACUACUGGUAGCUUUGCUUCUACUAAAUUACUGCUGAAAUAAAGUACGUCUUGGCAGUAUAGAACCCAGUGAUUUCACAAUGGAUAGAACAGUGCUGCCAAACUGGAGUGAUUUUCCACAGAUGUGAUAGAACCCUGUUUCUGCCAAUUCAUAAGACAUAGUUGAUUUGCUUGUCUUCUACCCAAUGAAGCACUAAGAAGCAUAUCUCCUACUGUAUGUAAUUAUAUUUUCUUUUAUUAAAAAAGUUAAAUGGUA